CAGCCCUCUGUCUAGUCGUUUAACACUAGUAAAAAUUUACGUUGGGGUGCUUCUCUUUAAUUUUGCUUCAUUUAAUUUUACUGGCAUGGGCUUUCUCUCAUUCGUGUUUGUAUUUUGAGAUGGUUUCCCCCCCCCCACACACACAUUUUUUUUACUUAUCUUCUUUGCCAAUUCUAUUAUGUCUCAAUGUAGGCAACUCAUUUUGUAAGCCAGCAGUUAAAGCUGCUGAAGGCUUUGUUCAUAAUGAAUUAUGAAUUAUUAACUGCUUCCAGUGGAAAAAUGGUGAAUAAAAUGUGACCCCUAUUCUUACAUAUGUUCACCAUUAGGAAACCUGCUACUACAGUAUUUUCAAUUAUUACAUUUCUCAUUUUAAAAACUGCUCUGUUAUCCUGUGUUUUCCUAUUGUUGCCUAAUACUGAGAUCAUUGGCUUUCAAAAUGUCUUUGGGUACCACUUUGUACCUUGGAAUCUGUAAAUAGCCAACAUCUUUCAUCCCCUUUCCUGAUUGCAAAAGGGCUGGCAAACUUUUCCUGCAUCUUGACCAAGAAGAUAGGUUGGAGAGAAAAGGCUGAACAUGUUUUAAAUAGCUGAAGGUCCAAGGUUCAACUUUGUCUCCGUGAGAAUAAGCACCCCUUUCUCUGACAUGAUGGCUUUUGUACAGGGCACCUUAAGACAAACAAUGUGGCCUUUUAAAGAUGGACAUUCAUAAACCACAUGUGUCCUAGAAAUCAGAAAAGUACAAACAGGAGACAAUAUUUGUAACUUAGGGUUGAACUAUGGGGUCCUUGGUCUCUAUUUUCUUUUAAACGUUUCAGCACCCAACUAGGUAACAUCAUCUGUGCUGGGGUUUAGAACUAGUAUGGAUGAUCUUACUGAGUUGGGUAAUUAAAUGUCUGCAAGAAAACUACUAAACUCAGAGAGGACCAAACAACCCCACAAAUCAGAAAUGUUUUGUUUAUUUAUAUGUUCAAACCUCUACAAAUGCCCAAUAACUCAAUACUGAAUUUGAGUAGAUAAUCUUCUCUAGCAUUCCAUAUCAAGAUAAGUUGAUGAAGAAAAGGGACAGAUAUCAAUCCCAUCAGUGCAAGUCUGAGUGCUUUUAAAAAUAAAAUGUAAAAGUAAUUUGCAUCUUUGUCAUUUAUUGUUUACCAAAAGGGUUUGAUACGUUUUUUGUAAACAAAUUUUAUUGUAUUAUUUGACAAUGUAACAACAU